rnacentral:rRNA from 1 species
AUGGAAAAUGAUACAAUUAGUGUGAACAUGCUCAGGCUUCGGAGGGCACCAUUCUUUCGGUUUUGUCAACUCUUUAGAGAUCGCAAUUUGCUAAAAGACACGGUCCAUAUGUCUAUUGAGCAACAAGUAGCAAUGUUUUUGCACACCGUUGGUCAUAAUGUCAGGAAUAGGGUAAUUGGAGGGAAUUUUGGUAGAUCCGGGGAAGUUGUUAGCCGGUAUUUCCAUAGAGUACUCCAUGCAAUUGGUGAGCUUCGAGAUGACCUUAUUAGGAAGCCUUCAUUGGAGACUCAAACCAAAGUAGAAGGAAACUACCGGUGGGAUCCAUACUUUAAGGAUUGUAUUGGAGCUAUUGAUGGUACACAUGUACGUGCCUCUGUUACUCCUGAUAUGGAGCCUGCCUUUCGUGGUAGAAAGAAACAUACUACUCAAAAUGUGAUGGCGGCUGUUGAUUUUGAUCUUCGAUUCACAUAUGUGUUGGCUGGUUGGGAAGGGACAGCACAUGAUGCUACAGUUUUACGUGAUGCUUUAAUACGUGAAAACGGUCUACGUGUUCCACAAGGAAAAAAAAUUCUAGUUGAUGCUGGAUAUGGAGUCAAACCAGGGUUCUUGCCCCCUUUUCGUGGUGUGAGGUACCAUUUGAAUGAGUGGGGAAACAGUCCUGUGCAAAAUGACAAGGAGCUGUUCAACCUUAGGCAUUCUUCUCUCCGCACAACCGUAGAACGUGCAUUUGGGUCAUUGAAGAGAAGAUUCAAAAUUCUUGAUGAUGCCACUCCAUUCUUUCUUUAUCCUACUCAAGUAGAUAUUGUUGUGGCUUGCUGCAUCAUUCAGAAUUGGGUUCUAAAUGAUGGGAUUGAUGAAUAUAUCAUACCGGAAGAUGAAUGGGUGCCAAAUAUCACUCAUGCUUCAACAUCAGCUGGACAAGCAGAAGAACAUGCAUACAUGGUUAACUUUAGGCAAGGCCUUGCUGAUCAAAUGUGGGAAGACCGACAAAACUAUAUGCACCAUCAAAACAUGUAG